rnacentral:misc_RNA from 1 species
UUGGAGGGCAAGUCUGGUGCCAGCAGCCGCGGUAAUUCCAGCUCCAAUAGCGUAUAUUAAAGUUGUUGCAGUUAAAAAGCUCGUAGUUGAAUUUCGGGAUCAAUAUAUCGGUCGUGCCUUCGGUAUGUACUGGUAUUAUUGGUUUCUCCUUUCUGACAAACUAUGAUGUCAUUAAUUUGGUGUCAUGGGGAAUCAGGACUGUUACUUUGAAAAAAUUAGAGUGUUUAAAGCAGGUACACGCUUGAAUACAUUAGCAUGGAAUAAUGAAAUAGGACGUUUGAUCCUAUUUUGUUGGUUUCUAGGAUUGACGUAAUGAUUAAUAGGGAUAGUUGGG